GAUGAACGCUGGCGGCGUGCCUAAUACACGCAAGUCGAGCGAACAGACGAGGAGCUUGCUCCUCUGACGUUAGCGGCGGACGGGUGAGUAACACGUGGAUAACCUACCUAUAAGACUGGGAUAACUUCGGGAAACCGGAGCUAAUACCGGAUAAUAUAUUUAACCGCAUGGUUCAAUAGUGAAAGACGGUUUUGCUGUCACUUAUAGAUGGAUCCGCGCCGCAUUAGCUAGUUGGUAAGGUAACGGCUUACCAAGGCAACGAUGCGUAGCCGACCUGAGAGGGUGAUCGGCCACACUGGAACUGAGACACGGUCCAGACUCCUACGGGAGGCAGCAGUAGGGAAUCUUCCGCAAUGGGCGAAAGCCUGACGGAGCAACGCCGCGUGAGUGAUGAAGGUCUUCGGAUCGUAAAACUCUGUUAUUAGGGAAGAACAAAUGUGUAAGUAACUAUGCACGUCUUGACGGUACCUAAUCAGAAAGCCACGGCUAACUACGUG
rnacentral:rRNA from 1 species